rnacentral:rRNA from 1 species
UGCUGCAUGGCUGUCGUCAGCUCGUGUCGUGAGAUGUUGGGUUAAGUCCCGUAACGAGCGCAACCCUUGUCCUUAGUUACCAGCACGUAAUGGUGGGCACUCUAAGGAGACUGCCGGUGACAAACCGGAGGAAGGUGGGGAUGACGUCAAGUCAUCAGGGCCCUUACGGCCUGGGCUACACACGUGCUACAAUGGUCGGUACAGAGGGUUGCCAAGCCGCGAGGUGGAGCUAAUCCCAUAAAACCGAUCGUAGUCCGGAUCGCAGUCUGCAACUCGACUGCGUGAAGUCGGAAUCGCUAGUAAUCGAGAAUCAGAAUGUGGCGGGAAUACGUUCCCGGGUCUGUACACAC